ACGGGGCGCGCACACGACGCCUGGAAACUAUUCUAUGCUCGCGCAGCUGACAGCAGCAGGAGCGAAACGCCGGCGUUGCACAGCGGUGUCACAGAGCCACCGCGCUGCGAUCACAUCAGCGGCUUAAUCCAAAUUUCUCGGACAUCUCAUUCUGUGCUGGAAACACUGGGAGGCAGGAAGAUUGAAAAAACGGCCACUGCCGCCCGCAAUGUCUUGGUGGUGGGUUCGUUAUCCAGUUGUGCUUCAUUCUAAGCCGUUCUGUACAUUUAUACUGGAUAUUAACUGAAGUCAUUUAGCUGUGCUAAUGCUGUUUGCCGUGUGUUUGGCAUCAGUGCUUCGUGACGUCGGCUGUAUUGCGUGUUUUCGCCAACGGCUUACUACUACAAUGGCGGGAUCAGCGUUCGCCGCCUUCUUGUCUCGGUGCGUCUUUGUACGUCGCACGUUCAGAUAACUUUUUCCGACUGCUAGACAACCUUCUUGUACCUUGGCGCUAGCUGGAUGACGGGACCUCAUCAUGAUCAGUGUAUUGCUUGCUAUGUCUACAAGAACCGUCACGCGUGGCCUGUGACAGCAAGCUUUUGUGGGCAGCAAGUGCUCUCCUACGAAGGCUGGCCUACUCUGGCAGCGGCGGCAAUCAUCUUCAAGAUUUAUCCAUGAUCACCUUUGCUGCUAUUUGUCACUCUUGUUGAUUGCACUUUCUGCAUUUUCACUUGCAAUCAUCUUUUAUGCAUGAAAAGCUAAUCGUACAGUUUAUGAAAAAAAAUAGCAGAUUAUAUGAUUUAU